rnacentral:rRNA from 1 species
UACAGAGACUGCAAGCGUUAUUCGGAUUCACUGGGCGUAAAGGGUGCGCAGGCGGCCGGGUGUGUCAGAUGUGAAAUCCCGAGGCUUAACCUCGGAACUGCGUCUGAAACUACUCGGCUAGAGUAUUGGAGAGGGUAACGGAAUUCACGGUGUAGCAGUGAAAUGCGUAGAUAUCGUGAGGAACACCAAUGGCGAAGGCAGCUCGCUGGGACGGUACUGACGCUGAGACGCGAAAGCGUGGGGAGCAAACAGG